UUGAUGAUAAGGUUUACAGUCUUUCUUUCCUUUCCUUUUUUUUUUUUUUUUUUUUUUGUUGUUGUUGUUGAGACAGGAUCUCGCUCUGUCACCCAGACUGGAGUGCAGUGGCACGAUCACAGUGCCUCAACCUCCCAACUAGCUAGGACUAUUAUUGGGCGUGCUAAUUUAAAAAGAAAUUUUGCAGAGACAGGGUCUCGCUAUGUUGCCUAGGCUCAUCUUGAACUCCUGGUCUCAAGCAACCUCUCCACUCGGCUUCUUAAAGUGUUGGGAUUACAGGCAUGAACCACUGCACCUAGACCAGCCUUUUUUCUACGAAUAAAAUGCCCUGAGAAGUCCCUGAGCACUUGCCUCCUCCACCUCCCCUGAGCUGAAAUCCCAGCACCCCACUGAUGGUUAUGCAGUCCCCCUGCAACUUCUCCGGCGCCACCUACCGGUGCAGCUUGGGUGGCUUGCAAGCUGCAGUGAUCACCAUCCCGGCCCUGCUCUCCUCAUCCACUCUGCUGGUCAUCAGCUGUAUAAAUGGAAAACGUGCCGCCGGCGGUCCCAGGUCACCUGCCCCAGCCCACCAUCCCCAUGAGGGGCCCAGGUAAGCCAUUCAAGGUCCACGAUGACAGGGAAGAUCCACUGCUCUUUUACUCUUGGUCUUAUUGUGCAAAACACCCAGGAAAGGCCCUAUCAGAUCUGUAUUGCCCAAAGGUGUGACAUUUAAGAGUGACAUUAAAAGGAGAAACUCUCCUUCCUCUCUUGAGGCGAGAGGGACAAUGUGCUUAGCUGGAUAAAGCCUCGCAGAGGCCAUGAGCACUGUCUUUGGCCUCACAGCCUCCGUUGCCCUUGUCCAGGAUCUGUUGGAUGUUACUCACCAAGCCCAUGGGUCAAGGAAGGUCCAUUCUGCUGCCCUGUAACUGUAACUGUAAGUGACUAUGGGCCAAGGCUGCCCUCGACCCCACAGUGUCUCUCUCCUGACCCACUGGGCCUGAUGGGGCCUCCGCAGGGAACCUUACCAAGGAGCACAAAGCCUCCUCCAAGGAGUGCACUCCUGGUUUCACCCCAGCUGAGGUGUGGCUUAUCACAUUAUCCAGGGCUUGCAGCCCUUAGAAUUUUCCACUUCUCCCAUCUUAAAACAUUCCCCCAUGCUUUUCUGAAGUAUUGGAGUUACAGGAGGUGCCUCUCAUGCCGCUAAUUUUAAAAGCCCAGAAUUCUCAUCACUACCCAAGAUCUCAGGACAUCUAGUCUGACUAUGUGUCAGCCACAAGGUUCAUGGUUUCUUCCACUCAUCCAAUGACACUCAAGUGCGUGCCAUGUGCCAGGAGUGCCAGGUGGUGAGUUUAUAACAAAUGAGACCCAGAAUUAGUAAGCCAGUGGUUAGAAAAGAACAAUGACAACAGAGUAUGAGAAGUGCAUGUAUGGGAUACAGGGGUCUGUGGGAGCAUAGAGAAGGAGCAACUAACCAGUCAGGAGAGGAAGGUUAAGGGGAGCCUCCAAGAAGUGGCAUCUGAACUGAGACCAGAAGGAUGACUAGGCACUUGCUGGAAGGAAGGAGUGAAAGGAUAGUCCAGGCAGAGGGAGCAGAAAGUACAGUUUAGGGGUUGACAAACUAUGGCCCACCUCUUGGUUUUGGAAAUGAAGUUUCACAGAAACACAGCCAUGUCCAAUCACUCAUGUAUUGUCUCUGGCAGCUUUUGCUCUGCAGGGCAGAAUGAAGUAGUUGCAAAAGAAACACUAAGAAUUACAAAGCAAAAGAAGUAUUGACUAUCUGGCCCUUGACAGAAAAGGUUUGCUGACCCCUAGAGACUGGAGAGCUCAUGCUGCCUUUUAGGGAACAUAGUGGCUGGAGGGUAAGGGUGGGAAAAAAGCAGUAGGCAGCUCACAGUGCGUUCUUCCCGUAGCCAUAGCAGCUGGAUCCAGAGUAGAUACACCCUGAUUUAAACUGAGCUGAUCAGAGUCUGUCUUCUCAGAAAUUGGAAUGUGGGAUGUCAAAUUCAAAAAUGGAGCCCGGUCACAUUAAUGCCUGUGAAGCUCUGCUGCGAAGGCCCCUCGAGCCUGCUCCUUGCCCAGACUGCUCAAUCAACCAUGCCUUGAUUCAGAAGGCCCUUGCAAUCAAUUCCCCUAACAUUUAAUUUUCAUUUCCC